rnacentral:rRNA from 1 species
AUUGAACGCUGGCGGCAGGCUUAACACAUGCAAGUCGAGCGGGGUGAUGGUGCUUGCACUAUCACUUAGCGGCGGACGGGUGAGUAAUGCUUAGGAAUCUGCCUAUUAGUGGGGGACAACAUCUCGAAAGGGAUGCUAAUACCGCAUACGUCCUACGGGAGAAAGCAGGGGAUCACUUGUGACCUUGCGCUAAUAGAUGAGCCUAAGUCGGAUUAGCUAGUUGGUGGGGUAAAGGCCUACCAAGGCGACGAUCUGUAGCGGGUUUGAGAGGAUGAUCCGCCACACUGGGACUGACACACGGCCCAGACUCCUACGGGAGGCAGCAGUGGGGAAUAUUGGACAAUGGGGGGAACCCUGAUCCAGCCAUGCCGCGUGUGUGAAGAAGGCCUUAUGGUUGUAAAGCACUUUAAGCGAGGAGGAGGCUCUUUUGGUUAAUACCCAAGAUGAGUGGACGUUACUCGCAGAAUAAGCACCGGCUAACUCUGUGCCAGCAGCCGCCGUAA